GACGUAGGAGGCGAGCGUUGUCCGGAUUCAUUGGGCGUAAAGAGCGCGCAGGCGGCUUGGUAAGUCGGAUGUGAAAUCCCGAGGCUCAACCUCGGGUCUGCAUCCGAUACUGCCCGGCUAGAGGUAGGUAGGGGAGAUCGGAAUUCCUGGUGUAGCGGUGAAAUGCGCAGAUAUCAGGAGGAACACCGGUGGCGAAGGCGGCGUCCUGGACCAACACUGACACUGAGGAGCGAAAGCCAGGGGAGCAAACGGG
rnacentral:rRNA from 1 species